rnacentral:lncRNA from 1 species
CGGCAUCUUUUUGAACUCUCCCGACUGUCCGAGCUUCUUCCGAACUUCGUCAAUGUCUGGGCUUCUCCAGGCAGCAGGACUGCUACAGUAAGCGAAUUUCGUCCGAACUUCUAUUGCAGGCGAACUUCAGCCAAGCUUCUACAAGAAUCGAAUUAUGUCCGAACUUCUAUUGCAGGCUGAUUUCAGCUGAGCUUCUACGAUAAGCGGUCUCCAUCUGGGCUACCACGACAAUCGGACUCCAUCCGAGCUUCUACAGUA